GUGCGCGAUUACUGCGGAGCCGCGGGGCUGCACCGCCGCUUACACUUCCCUGAGCGCUGCCUGAGCUGGCUGCGAGCGCAUCGGGGAGAGGUAUUUUAUGCAUGGGGUUUGUAAGGAAGGAGACAACUGUCGCUACUCGCAUGACCUCUCUGACAGUCCGUAUAGUGUAGUGUGCAAGUAUUUUCAGCGAGGGUACUGUAUUUAUGGAGACCGCUGCAGUCGUGCAUUGAGGCCCAUGAGAAGGACAUGGAGCUCUCAUUUGCCGUGCAGCGCAGCAAGGACAUGGUGUGUGGGAUCUGCAUGGAGGUGGUCUAUGAGAAAGCCAACCCCAGUGAGCGCCGCUUCGGGAUCCUCUCCAACUGCAACCACACCUACUGUCUCAAGUGCAUUCGCAAGUGGAGGAGUGCUAAGCAAUUUGAGAGCAAGAUCAUAAAGUGAGACUCCUCCCCAGUCUUCAUUUGUGCUUUCUCUUUUGGGGAAGAAUUUAGUAACUUGUGCCAACUUUCAACCAGAUGGACCGCAUUUAAAUGCAUGCAUUUUAUCUUGAAACUGGGAUAUUCUAAUGGGGAUUUCUUCUUUGUAUUUCAGCUAGCUUCUAGGUUAGUUGGUCUAUCUACUUUUAUUUGAAUGAGGAAACCCUGUGUAUCAGUUAGAAUCUUCGUGCUUUUUCUGAGGAGAUUGUGUUUAAUGGAUUAUUAGCCAGUUUAGGCUCAGUGAACAAACUGAUCUAGCUCUGAAUGUAUGUUUCCUGACGUUUUACAUUUCCACUUUCCUAUUCCAUUCAUUAAGCUAGCCAACAAUCCACCAUCCUUUAAAGAUUGUUCUCAUAACUGAACAAAAACCACAUAAUCUAAACAGAGCAAAGCUACAAGAAAUAAAUUUAUUUAAACGAAAGAAAAAGGAGUC
rnacentral:lncRNA from 1 species